rnacentral:rRNA from 1 species
AGAGUUUGAUCAUGGCUCAGGACGAACGCUGGCGGCGUGCCUAACACAUGCAAGUGGAGCGACGAACCGGGCUUCGGCCCGGGGCAAAGCCGCGAACGGGUGAGUAACACGUGGGUAACCUGCCCUGAUGAUUGGGACAACCCGAGGAAACUCGGGCUAAUACCAAAUGUGCCCUCCGACCAUAAGGUCGCUGGGGAAAGGAAGCUUCGGCCUCCGCAUCGGGAUGGGCCCGCGGCCCAUUAGCUUGUUGGUGAGGUAACGGCUCACCAAGGCAACGAUGGGUAGCUGGUCUGAGAGGACGAUCAGCCACACUGGGACUGAGACACGGCCCAGACUCCUACGGGAGGCAGCAGUGGGGAAUCUUGCGCAAUGCGCGAAAGCGUGACGCAGCAACGCCGCGUGGGGGAAGAAGGCCUUCGGGUUGUAAACCCCUUUCAGUUGGGACGAAGCUCUGCCGGUGAAUAGCCGGUUGGAGUGACGGUACCUUCAGAAGAAGCCCCGGCUAACUACGUGCCAGCAGCCGCGGUAAUACGUAGGGGGCAAGCGUUGUCCGGAAUCAUUGGGCGUAAAGAGCGUGUAGGCGGCUCGGUAAGUCCGCUCUGAAAGCCCGGGGCUCAACCCCGGGAGGCGGGCGGAUACUGUCGAGCUAGAGUCCGGAAGAGGCGAGUGGAAUUCCUGGUGUAGCGGUGAAAUGCGCAGAUAUCAGGAGGAACACCAAUGGCGAAGGCAGCUCGCUGGGACGGUACUGACGCUGAGACGCGAAAGCGUGGGGAGCAAACAGGAUUAGAUACCCCAGUAGUCC